rnacentral:SRP_RNA from 1 species
GCCGGGUGUGGUGAUGCACGCCUGUAAUCCCAGCUACUCAGGAGGCUGAGGCAGGAGAAUCGCUUGAACCCAGGAGGCGGAGGUUGCAGUGAGCCGAGAUCGCCGCCACUGCACUCCGGCCUGGGUGACAGAGUGAGACUCCGUCUGAA